ACACAUAUUCCCGCUAAAGGAUAGCUGCAAAUGCCGGGAGCAUGUACCGUGCGAAACUCAUAUUCAUAGUGGUGCUCGUUGUAGGCGCAGUUGAAUCUGGACCUGCUACCUUCAAUGACCUUCUUGAUUUCUUCAAUACUACUUCAAGAAUAUAUGUGUACGCAACUACUUAUGUGACAUAUAUUUACGACAACCCUGUAACGUGCAUCUGGUAUUCGAAGAAAUAUUUAAAUGACACGUGCUUCACGUUUAAUAUUCGGUACAAAGCUGACUGGCGUACAUAUAACAUGCCUGUUAACGCCAAACUGGGAGACGACCCUGAUGUAGGCGGCCCCUACAUGGAACCCAAUUUUUGGCCAAAAGAAACAACCUUUCGUACUAGAGAAAAAGCAAGGGACUUUUCCACAGAUAAAGGUGA